UACGGGGGGGGCAAGCGUUGUUCGGAAUUACUGGGCGUAAAGGGCGCGUAGGCGGCUCACUAAGUUGGAUGUGAAAACUCUGGGCUUAACCCAGAGCCUGCAUCCAAAACUGGUGGGCUAGGGUGCUGGAGGGGAAAGCGGAAUUCCUGGUGUAGCGGUGAAAUGCGUAGAUAUCAGGAGGAACACCGGUGGCGAAGGCGGCUUUCUGGACAGUAACCGACGCUGAGGCGCGAAAGCUAGGGGAGCAAACAGG
rnacentral:rRNA from 1 species